rnacentral:tRNA from 1 species
AGAGGUAUAGUGUAACGGUAACGCUCCGGACUCUGACUCCGUCAUUUAAGGUUCGAAUCCUUAUACCUCUGCCA